GCAUAUGUCAUUGCAAACGUUUUACACAUUUCUGAUGGUUUUCAUACAGCACCGUUUGCGAUUAUGGCAUCGCACACAGUUUCUCGAAGAGUCUCUGAUCGUAAUGUCGCGUUAGCAGCAUCCUGCAGUAGUGCCUGCAUCCAUUUCUUCUUCCGAAGUUUCCUUCAAGAUCCUUGUCACUAACUUCUGAGCUGUGUCUCUGCCUGCCCAUGGCAGUCUCAUCUUCUUCAGCAUUCGCUCUUUGAACUGCUGAAUCAGCCUCUCUUCUCUCGAACAUAUCUUUGCCUCUCUUGACAUUUACAGGAUCUCUGCUACAGCAAUGUCCUUGGUGAUAAACAGAAUUGCUACUAAGUUGUUGCAUAUCCAAGGAUGAAUCCAACUUUAUGUCAAGCCAAUCCCAAUAAGUACUGUGUCCAUCGCCCUCAUCUUCAGAGUCACGGGCUCCACUGUCCCCCAGCGAUUUUGUCCUUGUCUGGGAGCAACCUAAGCCCGUGAUAGUCAGUUGCCUUGGCCCGAGCCUGCCCCUGCUGUCUGCUUCAGCUCUGGAGGGCAGUUGAGUUCCCUGAGCACGCAUGCCCACCUAUGCCGCUGCACUGGAUCCGUCGAUUUGGCCUCCAGGACAGCCCAUUGGAAUACCUGCGCCGGUUUCUGACGCCAUGGCGAUGGGAUUCACCUCUGUUCCUCUUCUGAGCUCUCUGAGACGAUGAUUUCCGCCAACAACUAUGUUUCGAAAUCGAUCCUCUUCUGGCAGAUCUUGAUGUCUCGGAUCAUCUCCCCCCGGAUUGCUUCGUGGAUCCGAGCCUUCUCCUUUGCCAUCUUCAACUCCCUGAGGCAGUCGUGCACUUGCGCCGCUGCAUCCUGAAUCCUGUUCGUACGCGCCGACCACCAACGCUAGCGCAGUCCCUCCAAAUCCUCCGGGGGAUCACUCUGGUGUGGUCGAAGGUUGGAUCCCCCCGAUACGCAGGUUACAGGACCGCUAAUCUGCGCUGGGAUCCCACGCUCGCUGACUUGCCUUUGGGCGGAUCCAUGGCGGAUCUGAGAUGCAGCACCGGGGAAGACUCGACCAAGGAUGGUGGGAGAGGUGGGACUACGCAGCAGCGGGAGGGUGGGGAGCAUCUGUGGGGAGCGCUGAGUGGAGUGGCGGAGCGGGAGCGGCGGCCGGCCGGAGCGGCGCGCGGCGGGGCGAGCGAGGGUCGCCUAUCGCCUCACCACCUCUAGAUAGAUCACUAUCGCUUGAUCGAUCUACGAUUUAUUGACAACCCAGAUCCCUCGGUGUCCAUCCAAAUAAAUCGUCAAUAGAAGGUUCUCAGUCUCCAUAUCAAGAUCCUUUUCUGUUUUGUAAAUCAAGGGUGGUCCUAUAUUAGAGAUACCAUGAGUAAAAAAUGAUAAGGGCGUGACUGAAAAUCUGCUGUUCUGAAAAAAUUGGACGGGAAAUAUAUACGUACAUGGGGUUGAUAAAAAGAAAGAAUGCUCAAGUGCCAUGCUCUUUUAACGUAGAACUAGAAAGGGGAAGGCAGCAAAGCCGGAGACUAAAGAUCCCAACUUUUCUCAUAGCAGGGGCACGGGGGGAUCGGAGCAGUGCAGAGCCUGGGCUUGAUCUCUCCGCUGGGAUCUCUGUUCGACGUGAAGGGUUCUGCUGCAGCCGCCCGUUGAUGAUGUCCGUUCUACUACUACAUUUUGUAAGCACACCAUUGGUUCAGUAUGGAAACCCGUAGUUGUGGUGCCUUCCUGAUCUACCUACUAGUUUACAGGUGCCAAUUUCUGUUCUUGGUUACGGAAGAUUUGGCCGGACAUAGCUACAUUACGGAAGAUUUAGUUCUAUCUGUAUCAACGCAAAGACGAGCCGCAGUCACUCAGUGUUGUACCGAAUUGGUUAUUAAGAUAUUAAGUUGCGACUUGGAUUAUUACCGCUUGGUGCUAGGAAGGAUCUGUUGUGAUGGAAGCGGUGGCAUGAGUGACCCAAUGCUCAGGUUAUCUUCAGUUAGCACAUUGUAUGAGCUGUGGACAUUUUGAUGCCUAGUGGAAGUUCUCUCCAUGCCGAUUUUACAUCUGAUUCGUGGAC